GCUUUUUUGAGACCGGCGCACGGGUGAGUAACGCGUAUGCAACCUACCUUAUACAGGGGAAUAGCCCGAAGAAAUUCGGAUUAAUGCUCCAUGGUUUAUCGAUAUGGCAUCGUAUUGAUAAUAAAGAUUUAUCGGUAUAAGAUGGGCAUGCGUAUCAUUAGCUAGUUGGUGUGGUAACGGCAUACCAAGGCAACGAUGAUUAGGGGUCCUGAGAGGGAGAUCCCCCACACUGGUACUGAGACACGGACCAGACUCCUACGGGAGGCAGCAGUGAGGAAUAUUGGUCAAUGGAGGCAACUCUGAACCAGCCAUGCCGCGUGCAGGAUGACGGUCCUAUGGAUUGUAAACUGCUUUUGUACAGGAAGAAACCUCCCUACGAGUAGGGACUUGACGGUACUGUAAGAAUAAGGAUCGGCUAACUCCGUGCCAGCAGCCGCGGUAAUACGGAGGAUCCGAGCGUUAUCCGGAAUUAUUGGGUUUAAAGGGUUCGUAGGCGGCUUUGUAAGUCAGUGGUGAAAUUUCCUAGCUUAACUAGGACACUGCCAUUGAUACUGCAGAGCUUGAAUAGUAUGGAAGUAACUAGAAUAUGUAGUGUAGCGGUGAAAUGCUUAGAUAUUACAUGGAAUACCAAUUGCGAAGGCAGGUUACUACGUAUUUAUUGACGCUGAUGAACGAAAGCGUGGGGAGCGAACAGGAUUAGAUACCCUGGUAGUCCACGCCGUAAACGAUGGAUACUAGCUGUUCGGUUUUCGGACUGAGUGGCUAAGCGAAAGUGAUAAGUAUCCCACCUGGGGAGUACGUUCGCAAGAAUGAAACUCAAAGGAAUUGACGGGGGCCCGCACAAGCGGUGGAGCAUGUGGUUUAAUUCGAUGAUACGCGAGGAACCUUACCAGGGCUUAAAUGUAGAUUGACAGAUUUGGAAACAGAUUUUUCUUCGGACAAUUUACAAGGUGCUGCAUGGUUGUCGUCAGCUCGUGCCGUGAGGUGUCAGGUUAAGUCCUAUAACGAGCGCAACCCCUAUUGUUAGUUACCAGCGCGUAGUGGCGGGGACUCUAGCAAGACUGCCGGUGCAAACCGUGAGGAAGGUGGGGAUGACGUCAAAUCAUCACGGCCCUUACGUCCUGGGCUACACACGUGCUACAAUGGCAAGUACAGAAAGCAGCUACCUGGCAACAGGAUGCGAAUCUCCAAAGCUUGUCUCAGUUCGGAUUGGAGUCUGCAACUCGACUCUAUGAAGCUGGAAUCGCUAGUAAUCGGAUAUCAGCCAUGAUCCGGUGAAUACGUUCCCGGGCCUUGUACACAC
rnacentral:rRNA from 1 species